rnacentral:rRNA from 1 species
AGAGUUUGAUCCUGGCUCAGAUUGAACGCUGGCGGCAUGCCUAACACAUGCAAGUCGAACGGUAACAGGCCGCAAGGUGCUGACGAGUGGCGGACGGGUGAGUAAUACGUAGGUAUCUGCCCUGUAGUGGGGGAUAACCCGGGGAAACUCGGGCUAAUACCGCAUACGCUCUUUUAUCGUUGAGAUAGGAGAGGAAAGCGAGGGACCGAAAGGCCUCGCGCUAGAGGAUGAGCCUACGCCCGAUUAGCUAGUUGGUAGGGUAAAGGCCUACCAAGGCGACGAUCGGUAGCUGGUCUGAGAGGAUGGCCAGCCACACUGGGACUGAGACACGGCCCAGACUCCUACGGGAGGCAGCAGUGGGGAAUAUUGGACAAUGGGGGAAACCCUGAUCCAGCGAUGCCGCGUGGGUGAAGAAGGCCUGCGGGUUGUAAAGCCCUUUCAGUGGGGAAGAAAAACGGGGUGUGAAAAGCGCUUCGUCUUGACGUUACCCACAGAAGAAGCACCGGCUAACUCCGUGCCAGCAGCCGCGGUAAUACGGAGGGUGCGAGCGUUAAUCGGAAUUACUGGGCGUAAAGGGCGCGUAGGCGGUUAGGUAAGUCGAGUGUGAAAGCCCUGGGCUUAACCUGGGAAUGGCAUUCGAGACUACCUAUCUAGAGUCUGGUAGAGGGAAGUGGAAUUUCCGGUGUAGCGGUGAAAUGUGUAGAUAUCGGAGGGAACACCAGUGGCGAAGGCGACUUCCUGGACCAAGACUGACGCUGAGGCGCGAAAGCGUGGGGAUCAAACAGGAUUAGAUACCCUCGUAGUCC